GACGAACGCUGGCGGCGUGCCUAACACAUGCAAGUCGAGCGGAGUUACCUUUAGCACUGAGUAUUCUUAAAUAUAUGAUGCUGGCCGACAGCGUCAUGCAAAAACAACCUUGAUGAAUUGUUCAAUUAGCGUUUUUGCAUCACGCGUUUUAUCAAAGUGUCAACACAUAUACAUAGAAGAGAAUGUUCAGUGCUGAAGGUAACUUAGCGGCGGACGGGUGAGUAACGCGUGGGCAACCUGCCUGUUACAGGGGGAUAACACAGGGAAACUUGUGCUAAUACCGCAUAACACAACGAGAAAGCAUUUUCUUGUUGUCAAAGGAGCAAUCCGGUAACAGAUGGGCCCGCGUCCAAUUAGCUAGUUGGUGAUGUAACGGACCACCAAGGCGACGAUUGGUAGCCGAACUGAGAGGUUGAUCGGCCACAUUGGGACUGAGACACGGCCCAGACUCCUACGGGAGGCAGCAGUGGGGAAUAUUGCACAAUGGGGGAAACCCUGAUGCAGCAACGCCGCGUGAAGGAUGAAG
rnacentral:rRNA from 1 species